CCUGUUCUUUCUCGAGCUCUCCUCCCAGGUAGGUGAUAGUGUUAGGGUUUAUCGAUUUCGAUCGAUUUUUCAUUUCCCUUGUUGAGUUUCCCCAAUUCGUGCCUAGUAAAUGAGUUCCGCAUGCUCUGUUUAGUUUGGGUUCUGGAUUUUGAACCUGUUUUGUGGAUGAUUCGAACCCCAGUCAGGAAUUAGUUUGAUGUUCUUCUUGUUAAGUUCAGUGGUUAGGAGUCGAUUCGGUAGGCAACAUCUCUCAUGAUUCAUGGAUCUAUUUCUUCAGUUGUGGAUUCACAUGUUUUUGCUGUCCCUUUGGGGUGGUGCGUCAUUUUUUGAUUGAUGAUUUAGAGGGUGUUUGGAUACACCCUGCUAAACUUUAGCACAUGUCACAUAGAAUGUUUGGAUACUAAUUAGGAGUAUUAAACAUAGUCUAAUUACAAAACUAAUUCCACAUAUGGAGUCUAAUUCGCGAGACGAAUCUAUUAAGCCUAAUUAGUCCAUGAUUUGAUAAUGUGGUGCUACAGUAACCAUUUGCUAAUGAUGGAUUAAUUAGCUUUAAUAGAUUCGUCUUGCGAAUUAGACUCCAUCUGUGCAAUUAGUUUUAUAAUUCGCUCAUGUUUAGUCCUUCUAAUUAGCAUCCGAACAUCCGAUGUGACCCUGCUAAAGUUUAGCACCUCGUAUCCAAACACCCUCUUAAUCAUCUUGAGGGUUUUGCCUACUGAAUUUGUUUAGUUAUUCAACAAUUUUCCAUUUAUGUAGGAUUUGAUGUUUAGAUGCGUACUCUUUGCUGAUUCGUUUGCUUGUAGAUGAUUUUGGAUCUGUGUGCUAUAAAAGCCUGAAAUGAUUUGGGUCAAGUAGAUUUAUAACUGGUUGGUACAUGCUUAGGUUUGUGAUUGUGCGUAUGCUAUGAUUUUUUAAAUUCAGUGUGAAAUAAUUAUUGUAUGCCUCAAGAUUUUAUCGUUUAAAACUAUCAUUGCGAUUUUAUAUGCUUUGAUUUUGCCUAACUUGUAUUUGCUAAUAGACAUUUUAAUCAGGUUACUUGUCGUUAUAGUUCAUUCUAUUUUUUGCUUUACAUAUUGUGCAGUAAGGUGCAUUAUACAUUUUCCUUGCAAAAUUGGUGUAUAGUAUACUACCCUUGGCUGCUGUAUGCAACAACUUAUGCUGUGAUUCUAGUAUUAUUUAACUGAUUAAGUUUCCCAUGCAUUCUCUUUUUGAUAUUUUCAAUUACAUGUCCAAAUGCAAUUCCUAGUUAUGUAUUUUGUUUAAAUGGGCUGUUUUUAAUUUCAGAUGGUCUGGAAACACUCUUCUCAUGUAGUUGAUUUAACUAGUGGGAAUCUGAAGACCCUGAGGAGUGAGGAUGUACAAUGUUCACAGUUACCAAGUAUUUAUUUCUGAUAUGCCUUACUUCUGACAAUGAAAUUCAGUCUGAUGUCUGUAUGUUAUCCCCAUGUUGUUUAAUAUUGAUGUUUUUGCAUUUUAUUUCUAAAGUUUUCAAGUGCUUAUUGUGAUAUUCCAUGUUUACUCUGCCCAUGUCAUUUUCAUGCUGAAAUGAAGUCGUCCUCUUCUUCUGGUAAUCUCCUAGAAUCAUAUGCUUGAA
rnacentral:lncRNA from 1 species